GAAAUCUUGUAAAAUGCGGAAAAUAUAGCCCUGCGAAAUUUGCAAAUUUUGUAUUAAUUUGUAUUUAAUACGCACGGGAAUUUGCACCACUUUCGGCCCGAAUGUGGUGCAUUUUCCCGCGCGUAAUACAAAUUAAUACAAAAUUUGCAAAUUUCGUAGGGCUAUAUUUUCCUCAUUUCCUCAUGAUUAAAAAAAAUC